GCGAACGCUGGCGGCAGGCCUAACACAUGCAAGUCGAGCGGCCGUAGCAAUACGGCAGCGGCAGACGGGAUAGUAACACGUGGGAACGUGCCCUUUGGUUCGGAAUAACUCGGCGAAAGCCGUGCUAAUACCGGAUAAGCCCUUACGGGGAAAGAUUUAUCGCCAUUGGAGCGGCCCGCGUCUGAUUAGCUAGUUGGUGAGGUAAUGGCUCACCAAGGCGACGAUCAGUAGCUGGUCUGAGAGGAUGAUCAGCAUCACUGGGACUGAGACACGGCCCAGACUCCUACGGGAGGCAGCAGUGGGGAAUAUUGGACAAUGGGCGCAAGCCUGAUCCAGCCAUGCCGCGUGGAUGAUGAAUUUAUAUGUCAAGAAAAUGACGGUAGCAUAUGAAUAAGCACCGGCUAACUCCGU
rnacentral:rRNA from 1 species